rnacentral:sRNA from 1 species
UCCUGAACCACCUCGAGGACGCCUUGUGCGAGCUGGAAGCCGGCUACGCCGUCAACGAAAAAGACACCAAGCUCGCUCU